CCUACGGGGGGCUGCAGUGGGGAAUAUUGCACAAUGGGCGAAAGCCUGAUGCAGCAACGCCGCGUGAGCGAUGAAGGCCUUCGGGUCGUAAAGCUCUGUCCUCAAGGAAGAUAAUGACGGUACUUGAGGAGGAAGCCCCGGCUAACUACGUGCCAGCAGCCGCGGUAAUACGUAGGGGGCUAGCGUUAUCCGGAAUUACUGGGCGUAAAGGGUGCGUAGGUGGUUUCUUAAGUCAGAGGUGAAAGGCUACGGCUCAACCGUAGUAAGCCUUUGAAACUGGGAAACUUGAGUGCAGGAGAGGAGAGUGGAAUUCCUAGUGUAGCGGUGAAAUGCGUAGAUAUUAGGAGGAACACCAGUUGCGAAGGCGGCUCUCUGGACUGUAACUGACACUGAGGCACGAAAGCGUGGGGAGCAAACAGGAUUAGAUACCCCAGUAGUC
rnacentral:rRNA from 1 species